rnacentral:rRNA from 1 species
AUUGAACGCUGGCGGCAGGCCUAACACAUGCAAGUCGAACGAGUGGCGGCCGGGUGAGUAAUGUCUGGGUAACUGCCCGAUGGCGGGGGAUAACUACUGGAAACGGGAGCUUAUAACGCCUAUCAUCGGAUGUGCCCAGAUGGUAUUCGCUGGUAGGUGAGGUAACGGCUCACCUAGGCGACGAGACCUAGCUGGUCUGCGAGGAUGAUCAGCCACACUGGAAAUGAGACACGGUCUCGACUCCGACGGGAGGCAGGAGUGGGGAAUAUUGCGCAAGGGGCGUGAGCCUGAUGGAGUCAGGCGGCGUGUAUGAAGAAGGCCUUCGGGUUGUAAAGUACUGUCAGCGGGGAAGCGUUACCCGCAGAAUAAGCACCGGCUCACUCCGUGCCAGCAGCCGCGGUAAUAC